rnacentral:tRNA from 2 species
GGGCCUGUAGCUCAGUUGGUUAGAGUAGCUGGUUUACACCCAGUUGGUCGGGGGUUCGAGUCCCUCCGGGCCCA